GGGGAUGUAGCUUAGCGGUAGAGCACAUCAUUUGCACAGAGAUGGCUGCAGGUUCAAUUCUUGCCAUCUCUA